AGGACGAACGCUGGCGGCGCGCCUAACACAUGCAAGUCGAGCGAUAACCAGGGCUUGCCCUGGGGACAGCGGCGAACGGGUGCGUAACACGUGAGCAACCUGCCCCAAAGACCGGGACAACCCGAGGAAACUCGGACUAAUACCGGAUGCCCUCACCGGGCCGCAUGGUCUGGUGAGGAAAUGGAUUCCGCUUUGGGAUGGGCUCGCGGUCUAUCAGCUUGUUGGUGGGGUAACGGCCUACCAAGGCGACGACGGAUAGCUGGUCUGAGAGGACGAUCAGCCACACUGGGACUGAGACACGGCCCAGACUCCUACGGGAGGCAGCAGUGAGGAAUUUUCCGCAAUGGGCGAAAGCCUGACGGAGCGACGCCGCGUGCACGAGGAAGGUCUUCGGAUCGUAAAGUGCUGUCGAGGGGGACGAUUAUGACGGUACCCCUGGAGGAAGCCCGGCUAACUACGUGCCAGCAGCCGC
rnacentral:rRNA from 1 species